AGACGGGAGAAAGCCAGGCAUGAACUUGGCUUCUGCUAGCAGCUGCUCUGACAGGUUUAGGGCUGUUUGAUGAAGUGUGCAUCCCUUAUUUGCAUGCAUUUGGAAGAGGAGGAGGAAGAAGAAAAGAGGAGAAGGCAAAGGAGAGCCUGGGAUGGGUCCUGGAUCAUGGAGCGGGUGAGAACCUGUACUGGGAUCGUCAGUCCCCUUGUUGGUGAGCCUGGAGCUCGUGCGUCUGCCUCCCUGCUGGAUUGAGGGCCCCACACGCAGCGAGAUGCUCAAUAGACAUGUGAUCCUUUGAAAACGGAAGAGAAAAAGGAACAGACACAUCAGAGUGAAAAGAUGACUUUGACAAAAUUUAGAGAGAUCUGGCAAACAAUGGUUCGGGCGAGAGUCCUCAAACCCAUCAAAACAGACACACAAAGGCUGUGAUGAAGUCCUUCGUCCAAAGAGGAGCA
rnacentral:lncRNA from 1 species